UACGAAGGGGGCUAGCGUUGUUCGGAAUUACUGGGCGUAAAGCGUGCGCAGGCGGCUUCUCAAGUCAGGGGUGAAAGCCCAGAGCUCAACUCUGGAAUUGCCUUUGAGACUGAGUGGCUUGAGUACGAGAGAGGUGAGUGGAAUUCCCAGUGUAGAGGUGAAAUUCGUAGAUAUUAGGAAGAACACCAGUGGCGAAGGCGGCUCACUGGUCCGGUACUGACGCUGAGGUGCGAAAGCGUGGGGAGCAAACAGG
rnacentral:rRNA from 1 species